UCCCUGGUGGUCCAGAGGCUAAGACUCUGAGCUCCUAAUGUAGGGGGUCUGGGUUCGAUUCCUGGUCAGGGAA
rfam:Ovis aries breed Texel chromosome 2, whole genome shotgun sequence.